rnacentral:rRNA from 1 species
AACGAACGCUGGCGGCAUGCCUAACACAUGCAAGUCGAACGAGACCUCCGGGUCUUGUGGCGCACGGGUGCGUAACGCGUGGGAACCUGCCCUUAGGUUCGGAAUAACUCCCCGAAAGGGGUGCUAAUACCGGAUAAGGUCUUCGGACCAAAGAUUUAUCGCCUUUGGAUGGGCCCGCGUUGGAUUAGCUAGUUGGUAGGGUAAAAGCCUACCAAGGCGACGAUCCAUAGCUGGUCUGAGAGGAUGAUCAGCAACACUGGGAAUGAGACACGGCCCAGACUCCUACGGGAGGCAGCAGUGGGGAAUAUUGGACAAUGGGCGAAAGCCUGAUCCAGCAAUGCCGGGUAAGUGAUGAAGGCCUUAGGGUUGUAAAGCUCUUUUACCCGAGAUGAUAAUGACAGUACCGGGAGAAUAAGCUCCGGCUAACUACGUG